UACAGAGGUGGCAAGCGUUGUUCGGAAUUACUGGGCGUAAAGGGCGCGUAGUCGGCCUUCUAAGUCAGACGUGAAAUCCCCAGGCUUAACUUGGGAACUGCGUCUGAUACUGGGAGGCUUGAGUGCGGGAGAGGGAUGUGGAAUUCCAGGUGUAGCGGUGAAAUGCGUAGAUAUCGGGAGGAACACCAGUAGCGAAGGCGACACUCUGGGCCGGUACUGACGCUGAGGAGCGAAAGCGUGGGGAGCAAACAGG
rnacentral:rRNA from 1 species